GCUCAGUCAUUUGCUCAUUAGAAGAGCCAGUCGGAGAGAGAUCGCGUCAUUGGACAGUGUGCUUAACACCCGUCUGAGUCAGAGCAUGGCAUUGGUGUGCAGGCCUGACAUUCAUGAUCGCCCAUAAGUGGGCGUUCCUUCUGUUCUUUGACGUUAGGGUUUGAUUGGUCAGCUGUUGCUCUUGGCGUCACUGCGCUGCCAGCUGAUCGGGAGGAGAAGCCGGUAUGAGGGGAGUUGAAGCGGAGACUCAGGACGCAGCGAUAUGUGGGCUAGAUUGUGAAAUUGAGGACGUAAGACUAAUGGUGUCGUGUUGAAGUUGAGUAAUUAUAUUGUUAGUGAUUUCUGUAACACUGUUGAGUUGUCUUGAGUAGGUUAGGAUUAGAUAUUUUAGCUGAGUCGCGCUUUAGCUCUUUGAUGUCAGGAGUGAUUUGAGGUUAAGGUGUGGCUUUCAGCUAAAGGACGAAUUACUUAAAUUGUAGAAGAGCUUAUAUUUAAUUCUUCGACGUUUAGCCUUUAUUUACAGUUAGAGUGAGACAUUAAAGUGGGUGAGAGAUAGGCUACUGGAAAUGGGAUCGGGGCAUGACCCAGGUCAGAAUCGAACUUGAGUUCCCAAUGAGCUUUUAAAUGUUGUAUGUGCGCUGCCUUGUGCGCCAGAACUGAAUCAUGAGGGUUUGAACGGUUUUCGCGAGGAUUUGAUACGCGUGUCACCGGGGGGGGGGGAUAUUUAAAACCAGGAAGCGUUCGGUUACACAACGGAGGCCAACCGUUCGACAUUCGGUCUAACUUUUCGGAAGUGCGUGAACCCACUUCAGAACGAAUGGAAUCUGUAACAUUCCAUUGGAAGAGAUCGCGAGAGCGCUCGGUUCAGAGUUGAGCCGUACAGGGCGUGAGCCGUACGCUAGUAGACAGUCUGUAGGCAGAAUGAGGGGGAAAAACCCAUUGCGAAAAUAAAGGAUGUUACGCCAGUUUUAUGUGAUAUCUGGGAGUCGAAUCGAUCGACGAGAGAAAUCAAGAAUUCUACCAGUGAACCUAACAUCUGGAGUGGAGACCUCCGUUUCAACAGCAUUCAACCGCAAACAGAGUUUGGCAUUGUGGAUUUCUGCUUGCGUCUGAAUGGCGUCCGACUGCUGAAGGCAGUCAAGCUAGUUCACCUCAGCAGUACAGAGUGUGAGCCGGCCCAGCUCUGUGGGAGGGUGGAGUCAGUCCAGCGCGGCGUAUCUCAGACAGCAUGGAGGGCCUCUGCAGACCGAAUGGAAUUUAUACCAUAUGUACCAGGCAUCCCAAGAAUGCACGGCACAGAGACUUGACCAACUGAAAGAACUGCAGAAAGUGCAAUGGAAAGGGUGAGAGACAGAGAGAGAGGGCGGGAGGGCAAGCUGCAGGAAUGAAACGGUUGAGUAUAAUUCCAUUAGUGUUUCCUAAGGAAAUAAUUAGUCCUUAGGUAAGUGCUAGAUGGACUGUCAAUUUAAUAUCUGUAUAUUUUAGCUAUCUAACUGAAAUAUAAAACAUUAUGUAAAUACAGUUCAGAAGUUUGGGGUCAGUAAGAUUUUA
ensembl:lncRNA